rnacentral:rRNA from 1 species
ACUCAAAUGAAUUGACGGGGGCCCGCACAAGCAGUGGAGUAUGUGGUUUAAUUCGAAGCAACGCGAAGAACCUUACCAGGGCUUGACAUCCCUUGAAGUUAGUAGAGAUAUUAACGUCCUUCGGGACAAGGAGACAGGUGGUGCAUGGUUGUCGUCAGCUCGUGUCGUGAGAUGUUGGGUUAAGUCCCGCAACGAGCGCAACCCCUGUGGUUAGUUGCCAGCAAGUAAUGUUGGGCACUCUAGCCAGACUGCCGGCGAUAAGUCGGAGGAAGGUGGGGAUGACGUCAAAUCAUCAUGCCCCUUAUGUCCUGGGCUACACACGUACUACAAUGGCCGCUACAAUGGGAAGCCAAGGAGUAAUCCGGAGCAAAUCCCUUAAAGGCGGUCCCAGUUCGAAUUGUGGGCUGCAACUCGCCCACAUGAAGUCGGAAUUGCUAGUAAUGGCAGAUCAGCAUGCUGCCGUGAAUACGUUCCCGGGCCUUGUACACACCGCCCGU